rnacentral:rRNA from 1 species
UACGGGGGGAGCAAGCGUUGUUCGGAUUUACUGGGCGUAAAGGGCGCGUAGGCGGUCAGCACAAGUCAGUUGUGAAAUCUCCGGGCUUAACUCGGAAAGGUCAACUGAUACUGUGCGACUAGAGUGCAGAAGGGGCAACUGGAAUUCUCGGUGUAGCGGUGAAAUGCGUAGAUAUCGAGAGGAACACCUGCGGCGAAGGCGGCACUCUGGGCCGAUACUGACGCUGAGGAGCGAAGGCGUGGGGAGCGAACAGG